CAGAUCAGCAUGCUGCGGUGAAUACGUUCCCGGGCCUUGUACACACCGCCCGUCACACCAUGGGAGUCGGUAACACCCGAAGUCGGUAGCCUAACCGUAAGGAGGGCGCCGCCGAAGGUGGGAUUGAUGACUGGGGUGAAGUCGUAACAAGGUACC
rnacentral:rRNA from 1 species